rnacentral:rRNA from 1 species
GACGUAGGGUGCAAGCGUUGUCCGGAAUUAUUGGGCGUAAAGAGUUCGUAGGUGGUUUGCCAAGUCUGACGUUAAAGCCCGAAGCUCAACUUCGGUAUGGCAUCGGAAACUGGCAGGCUAGAGUCUGGUAGAGGCAAGGGGAAUUCCCGGUGUAGCGGUGAAAUGCGUAGAGAUGUGGAGGAACACCAGUGGCGAAGGCGACUCUUUGGUCUGUAACUGACGCUGAGGCGCGAAAGCGUGGGGAGCAAACAGG